rnacentral:rRNA from 1 species
UACGUAGGGCGCAAGCGUUGUCCGGAAUUAUUGGGCGUAAAGAGCUCGUAGGCGGUUUGUCGCGUCUGCUGUGAAAACGCGAGGCUUAACCUCGCGCCUGCAGUGGGUACGGGCAGACUAGAGUGCGGUAGGGGAGACUGGAAUUCCUGGUGUAGCGGUGGAAUGCGCAGAUAUCAGGAGGAACACCGGUGGCGAAGGCGGCUCACUGGCCCGGUACUGACGCUGAGGUGCGAAAGCGUGGGGAGCAAACAGG